rnacentral:rRNA from 1 species
GGUCUCAAAUCAGGUAGGAAAACCCGCUGAACUUAAGCAUAUCAAUAAGCGGAGGAAAAGAAACUAACAAGGAUUCCCCUAGUAACGGCGAGUGAAGCGGGAAGAGCUCAAAUUUUAAAUCUUACAGGUUUACCUGUACGAAUUGUAGUUUAAAGAAACGUUUUCGGAUCUGUGGUGGGUGUAAGUCCUUUGGAAAAAGGCAUCAUGGAGGGUGAGAAUCCCGUUCUUAACCCACUUUCAGAUCUAUGUGAUACGUUUUCCAAGAGUCGGUUUGUUUGGGAAUGCAGACCAAAAUGGGUGGUAAAUACCAUCUAAAGCUAAAUAUUGGCGAGAGACCGAUAGCGAACAAGUACCGUGAGGGAAAGAUGAAAAGAACUUUGAAAAGAGAGUUAAAUAGUACGUGAAAUUGUCAAAAGGGAAACGCUUGAAACCAG